GGGGGCUGGCCGGGCGCGGCGGUCCGCGGUGGAGAUGCGAGCGCCACUUUUCUUGCAAACCUAGAAAAGCCGUUCCUUUCUGCAAUAAUGCAGCACAAGUUUGAUAAACCUCUGAUGUAGACUGUCGUCAAAAUCCUGAGGAGAAAACAGAUGAAGAAAAUUGCCAGUGAGGUAGGUGAUAUCUUCUCUGUUUUACAAAGAAGAAAACUGAGAUCCGUGGACAUUAACCUGUUUCCAAGGUGACCCAGCUAGAAGGAAAUGAAGCUGAGAUUUGCUCCUACGUUAAUGGACUUCAGGUAAGUACUCUUAAUCACUGUGUAUUCUGUACCCACAACUGGUGAAGGAAACCUC